CUACGGGAGGCAGCAGUGGGGAAUCUUAGACAAUGGGCGCAAGCCUGAUCUAGCCAUGCCGCGUGAGUGAUGAAGGCCCUAGGGUCGUAAAGCUCUUUCGCCAGGGAUGAUAAUGACAGUACCUGGUAAAGAAACCCCGGCUAACUCCGUGCCAGCAGCCGCGGUAAUACGGAGGGGGUUAGCGUUGUUCGGAAUUACUGGGCGUAAAGCGCACGUAGGCGGACCAGAAAGUUGGGGGUGAAAUCCCGGGGCUCAACCCCGGAACUGCCUCCAAAACUCCCAGUCUAGAGUUCGAGAGAGGUGAGUGGAAUUCCGAGUGUAGAGGUGAAAUUCGUAGAUAUUCGGAGGAACACCAGUGGCGAAGGCGGCUCACUGGCUCGAUACUGACGCUGAGGUGCGAAAGUGUGGGGAGCAAACAGGAUUAGAUACCCUGGUAGUCCACACCGUAAACGAUGAAUGCCAGUCGUCGGGUAGUAUACUAUUCGGUGACACACCUAACGGAUUAAGCAUUCCGCCUGGGGAGUACGGUCGCAAGAUUAAAACUCAAAGGAAUUGACGG
rnacentral:rRNA from 1 species